AACUCAGCCACGAUUGAGAGAUAAAGAGAUUGGGUGUGUUUCCCGCAGUUCUGCAAAAGAGAGGAUAAGCGGAGAAAUUUAAUCCCAAGCUGCACUAUCUUGGGCUUAACACAGAAUGGCAGUGGUGUGGUUUUAUCGCUGUUAGUUUUCUUGAGAUUAAACCAAAUAUUCCCAGAAGAACUCCCACAAAGGAGCAUUCAUUCCACAAAGCGGUGACAAAUCUUAUUCAAUCGAUUUCACUGUGUUACUCAAUCUAAACGCUUGACAUAAAUAAAAAUUCCAGAAGGAAUUCAAGAACUUUCCAAAGAAGUACAAGCAGUUUCAUAUCAAUUGUAUUCAAUUUCAGUUUUUUUAGUAUCAUAUUAACAACUUCUUUUCUAUACAAUCACUUACUUUCAUAAGCAAUUCACUAACAAUCCUACCUCCCGCU